UUAAGAAAUUAUUCAUUUAAAUUAGAAGUUCAUUUGUUUAUUUCCAGGCACAAAAGAGUGAGUUUCAUGCACAUUGUUCACAGAAGUGAAGCACUCAGAGCAGAAUGGGGCUGUCACUAACGAGAAACCAGAUGCAGCUGGUCCCACUCACUCCCUCCAGCAAGAUCUAAGGAUGCUUGGCCUUGGCUUUGCAGCAACCUGGGUCUCCAAAAUAGUAUAGUCAGUUGUGUAUAAAAGAUUUCUGGUAUUUUCCCAGACUAGAUUUUGCUUUUGUUUCUGGUGAAAGAGUAUUAGCUUGUGG
rnacentral:lncRNA from 12 species